UCUUUAUAAAAGCUACCGUUUGGAGAUGAGCUCGCGUACCAUUAGCUAGUUGGUGAGGUAAAGGCUCACCAUGGCGACGAUGGUUAGCUGGUCUGAGAGGAUGAUCAGCCACACCGGAGCUGGAACACGGUCCGGACUCCUACGGGAGGCAGCAGUGAGGAAUUUUGCGCAAUGGGGGAAACCCUGACGCAGCAACGCCGCGUGAGUGAUGAAGGCUAUUCGGGUCGUAAGGCUCUGUCAGGUGGGAAGAACCCACCAAGUGUUAAGACCACUUGGUGCUGACGGUACCACCGAAGGAAGCACCGGCUAACUCCGUGCCAGCAGCCGCGGUAAUACGGGGGGUAGCGAGCGUUAUUCGGAAUCAUUGGGCGUAAAGGGCGCGCAGGCGGUCCUGUAAGUCAGGAUGUGACAUCCCGGGGCUUAACCCCUGAAGUGCAUAUGAGCCUAUGAGACUUGAGUAUGGGAGAGGGAAGCGGAAUUCCUGGUGUCGCGGUGAAAUGC
rnacentral:rRNA from 1 species